rnacentral:lncRNA from 1 species
AAUAGGAAAAUCUGGAGGUCUAGUAUCAGGGUUGUAGGAUAGGGGCCCCUAGAGUUUUUCGUACUACUCACCCGGGGUUAGGUGAGACUUGACAGGGCUAUCCAUAGAUGUUAUUGUGUUUUGGAUUGUGUCUCCCUUAUGGUAGUUAUUUAUGGUAGUUAUUGUAUGAUGUUAUUGCAUGCUAUUUAUUUAUAAUUCUUAUGUUUAGAUAGUUAUUUAUGCUAUUUCUGCUGGACUUAC